rnacentral:lncRNA from 1 species
UCCUUUCCAACUUCCAUAUCCUUAACUUGAUUUCGCUUUCUCUUCUUUCUCAUGGCUUUUGGAAUGGAAAUAGGAGUUUUUCCACUCGGGGUUGCUAAUGGAGGUGAGACCAGUUGAGAUGGCCUUCUUGAGACUUUUUCUGAUGUUGGCAUGUCACUCUUUUCUUUUCACAUCUGUCCUGAUCAUGCCUACUUGAUAAUGAU